rnacentral:rRNA from 1 species
GAUGAACGCYGGCGGCGUGCYUAACACAUGCAAGUCGAACGAAGCACUUGUAUUUGAUUCUUCGGAUGAAGAUACUUGUGACUGAGUGGCGGACGGGUGAGUAACGCGUGGGUAACCUGCCUCAUACAGGGGGAUAACAGUUAGAAAUGGCUGCUAAUWCCGCAUAAGCACACAGUGUUGCAUGACACAGUGUGAAAAACUCCGGUGGUAUGAGAUGGACCCGCGUCUGAUUAGCUGGUUGGUGGGGUAACGGCCUACCAAGGCGACGAUCAGUAGCCGACCUGAGAGGGUGACCGGCCACAUUGGGACUGAGACACGGCCCAAACUCCUACGGGAGGCAGCAGUGGGGAAUAUUGCACAAUGGGGGAAACCCUGAUGCAGCGACGCCGCGUGAGCGAAGAAGUAUUUCG